GCGGAGGCCCAGGGAGGCGGGCUGGGUCCCAGCGGCGGGGCCCGCGAGCCUCAGCGGGUCUGGGGGCGGCGGUGCUCCUCGUCUGAGGGGCUCCAGCCCGACAGCGGCGGUGGCGCCCGCGGCCCCUGAGCGAACGGAGGACCAGGCCGGAAGGCGGCAGCGCGGCUGCGCCCGGAGUAAAACAAAAGAAUGAAAGAAGUAGAUAAUCUCGAAAGUAUAAAAGAAGAAUGGGUUUGUGAAACAGGAUCUGACAACCAACCUCUUAGUGAUGAUCAACAAAGAAAUUGUGAAUAUUUUGUUGACAGCCUUUUUGAGGAAGCUGAGAAGGUUGGUGCCAAAUGCAUGUCUCCCACUGAACAGAAGAAACAAGUCGAUGUAAGUAUAAAAUUAUGGAAAAAUGGAUUCACAGUCAAUGAUAAUUUCAGAAGUUACUCUGAUGGUGCAAGUCAGCAGUUUCUGAACUCCAUCAAAAAAGGGGAAUUACCUUUGGAAUUACAGGGAAUUUUUGAUAAAGAGGAGGUGGAUGUUAAAGUUGAAGACAAAAAAAAUGAAAUAUGUAUGUCAACGAAGCCUGUGUUCCAGCCCUUCUCAGGACAGGGUCACAGACUAGAAAGUGCCACACCAAAAAUUGUUUCUAAAGCAAAGAGUACUGAAGUAGAGAAAAAUAAUUUGUUGUUCAACUAAACAAUCUGGAACCCAUCACUAAUGUACAGAUCUGGUUAGCCAAUGGAAAAAGGAUUGUCCAGAAAUUUAACAUUUCUCAUAGGAUAAGCCACAUCAAAGACUUCAUCGAAAAAUACCAAGGAUCUCAAAGAAGUCCUCCCUUUUCCCUGGCCACAGCUCUUCCUUUCCUCAAAUUGCUAGAUGAAACACUCACAUUGGAAGAAGCAGAUUUACAGAAUGCUGUAGUCAUUCAGAGACUCCAAAAAACCGCUGAACCUUUUAGAGAACUUUCAUAACAUUGAUUUUUGAUACACUAAGUGGAAAGUUUGAAGAGAAAUGAUGGUUGUAAAUGAACAUGCAAACCAAAAUGAGGGAAAGGAAGUCAGAUUCGCUGGACUUUUAGUUCGGGCAUGAUUUAACUCCCUCCUGAUGAGAAGAUUUUUAAAUAAGUACAAGUUAGGAAAGUGAACUAUGACUGGAAACUAUAUUCAAUGCACUUUUUCCAAAAGACUACUCAGAAAGAAAACUAUACUUAUUUUCAAAUACCAGUUAUUCAGCAAUAAGAUAUAUUAAAUCACUGUAUCAUAUAGAAUCUUAAUGUGGUAUAAAUUAGCAAAUGUAUUCACAGCAUCAUUCAUUCAAAUAUUCCCAACCAGCAGUGGUUUGUUUAGAUGUUAGCUGUCUCAGAUUUUUUAAGUAGCAAUAUAUUAAGAAAAUUAUACAUGACAGGUUAAAAAACAUCAAUGUAAUUAUUUUACAUCUGAGAUACAGUCAGAAAGCUAGAAGGAACUUCUUUCACCACAGCUAUGCCUGAACCUCCAAGUGUUCUCCAUUUUUAUUUUCUAAUGGCAAGAUAUAUUCAUAUUAUUUUGGCACAGUAUCUAAAAUGCAUUUUAAGGAUAAAAUUGUGCAGCUUAGUACAAUGUCAAUAUUAAUCUGCCUAUUCACAUUUUGACAUUUCAAGAGGUGUAAUUUUUAAAAAUUUCUUUUCUGUCCAGGAACCCGAGUU